rnacentral:tRNA from 1 species
GCGGUCGUGGCGGAAUUGGUAGACGCGCUGCCUUGAGGUGGCAGUUCUUAACCGAGUGGAGGUUCGAGUCCUCUCGACCGCACCA